AAUGCUUGAGUUAAAAAGAUGAUGCAACAGAAUACACACAUACAUAUGUAUAUAUUUACAAGAAAUCUGUAUUUAUGCACCGGACAAAUCGCAUUCACAAGAGCAUAUGCCAAAAUAACCCCCAAAUUUCUAUUGCGUCAUUUCGUCAGUAACCGAAAUUUGCUUUUGUUGCUUCUUUUUUUCCAGAAGUAGCAGCAAACGCAAUCGCAGGCUAAAUGAAAAUUCUGACUGUUAGUAGUGCAUUUUUAUAUUAAUUUCUAACAAUUUUUUUUCUUGUUUUAGAUUGAGAACGUCUUUGAGAUCCAGCUUCCGCAAACCACUUUUCGCACUUUUUAAAAGCGAAAGUAAGGGAAUAAAACUGCUCAAAUCUUUGGAAAGCCACGCUUAAGAGAUACAAUCAACUUUAAUUUGGCUUGCGAUCCAUUCAGUGUUGGUGCGACAGCAAUGACAAAGAAGGACGGCGGAAGCAAGAACGCGAAGCACACCAUUGCGGACCCGCGAAGCCGUUUCUUGGUUUGGAAGGCUACUGUUGGGGAACUGCAAACACAUCUAAAGGCAUUGACGGAAAAUUGCUAAUCCGGAAAGCCGAAACUGCAACCAUUCAGCUGCAACGUGGGAACAAGCC